AACCCAGUGUCUCAUAAGUGCUAGGCAAGUGCUCUACCACUGAGCCCUAGCCCCAGCCCUGGAUAUAUCUUUUUGAUUCCCAUUCUAUAAGAGGCUCGAGUCUAGAGCCCUUUCAUAGAGUAUCCUUCUUUCUUUAGGCUGUAUCAACCUCUCCUUUGCAUAUGUGGAAGGGGAGAGUCUGCUGAUGGCACUCAAGGAUGUUGCCUUAUCCUCAGGGAGUGCUUGCACCUCUGCAUCCCUGGAGCCCUCUUAUGUCCUUAGAGCGAUUGGCACUGAUGAGGAUUUAGCACACUCUUCCAUCAGGUCUGUGAGUUGAGCUGCCAUGUUUAUGAAAGACAUCCUCUUUAUUUUUUAUUUUCUGUUAUACAGUCUUUUUCUGUCUGGUUCUUCUUAUCCCUUC
rnacentral:lncRNA from 1 species